GAUGAACGCUGGCGGCGUGCCUAAUACAUGCAAGUCGAGCGAAUGGAUUGAGAGCUUGCUCUUAUGAAGUUAGCGGCGGACGGGUGAGUAACACGUGGGUAACCUGCCCAUAAGACUGGGAUAACUCCGGGAAACCGGGGCUAAUACCGGAUAACAUUUUGAACCGCAUGGUUCGAAAUUGAAAGGCGGCUUCGGCUGUCACUUAUGGAUGGACCCGCGUCGCAUUAGCUAGUUGGUGAGGUAACGGCUCACCAAGGCAACGAUGCGUAGCCGACCUGAGGUGGUGAUCGGCCACACUGGGACUGAGACACGGCCCAGACUCCUACGGGAGGCAGCAGUAGGGAAUCUUCCGCAAUGGACGAGAGUCUGACGGAGCAACGCCGCGUGAGUGACGAAGGCUUUCGGGUCGUAAAACUCUGUUGUUAGGGAAGAACAAGUGCUAGUUGAAUAAGCUGGCACCUUGACGGUACCUAACCAGAAAGCCACGGCUAACUACGUGCCAGCCGCCGCAGUAA
rnacentral:rRNA from 1 species